rnacentral:snRNA from 1 species
AUCAUUUCUCGGCCUUUUGGCUAAGAUCAAGUGCAAAUUCAAAGACAGUUAAUACUACUUUAGGACUAUUUCAAGAAACCUUCUUUUAAAGAAUUUAUGAACUCUCUUCAUUUGAUGAAUUUAUCACAUGAUGUAGAAGGACUAUU